rnacentral:lncRNA from 10 species
UAAUGAAAAUACAGUGGGGGGUCCUUAAGGCAUCAUUCAGGGUCUACCUUUAAGCGACUCCAGCUCUUGAACUUAAUGAACUGGACACUUUCAAGUUCUGAACAUGGUAAAUAAAAGCCAGCACCUGCUGCCAAAAUACCUUGUCUCAUAAUCAAAAUCAUUUCUAGAGCCAGCGGAACAUGGAUUCCCUGAGAAAUUCCCACUGACUCAGCAAUUUUAGGUUGGGAUUUUAUUUUAGAGUCACUUAACGAAAAGAUUUCACCUAGUGGCAUGGCCCCAAUAUUUAUCAGGUAACUCUGGCCCCAUCUCAGCAGACUGACUGAUUCAAUCAUCUUACCCUUUACUGGGGAUGAAACGAAAUGCUUACUAACUCACUCCUGACCCCACCUGCCACUCCAAGUCAUUCCAGCAAACAAAUCCGUAAUAGAUUGCUGAGAGGGGGAAGAUAGGUGAAAUUGGAGAAUACACUAAAAAUCAACUAGUUUUAAACGGUACGGGUGGGAGCCAUGCCCCCUCUGUACUGGUCCACUUUAUAAAUCCCAGAGGGAACUCAUUCUAUGCUUGAAGGAAAACUUUGCCUUGUUCUUUGGUUAGAUUGUGCUGAACAGAUCAAUUCAUGUCAAAGAGCAUCAACUUUUCUUAUUUAUGCCAUGGCUUCCAUACCACAUCACACUUUAUUUACUCUUAGUGGAACCUUGAAUCAAUGAUCAAUUUUGUUUUGUCCUUCAGUGGAGUAUCAGACACCAGGACAACCUGGUCAGCAAAUAUUCUGAAGUCCUCAGCAGUUAUUACUAGACAGGAUAUUAGCAUAUGGCACAUCAUGGAAUUAAUUUAUGUAACACAUACUUAGCAUGCACCUAUCAAAUAUGUAUCAGGCACAGUGCCACGGCCUUAGGAUGGAGAAGAAAAAACAUAGUUCUUGCUCUCAGAGAGCUUAGAUCUAGAAGUUGAUAGAUGCUGUUUUCCAAGUUUCUCCACUUGUAUUUCUGAAACUGUGAACAGCCAACUGACAUGUAGUAAGCAAUCAUUUUUCCAGAAAAAGUCUGUUGGGGUGAAAUAACAUGAUAAGGGAUC